rnacentral:misc_RNA from 1 species
AUACUUUCUGCUUCACAUGACCCUGAUUUUUUUUUUUUUCUAAUUAGAUGUGUUCUCAAAUAAAAUUAUUAUAGGCAGCUAAUGUUAACUGGUCCUCACAAAUUCACCACUAUAAGAAAAAGAAGCAACAUAUGCACAUCAGAAUCGCAUUUGCCUAUAAUCAGAAAUUAUAUAUAUUUAAAAUAGCAAGAAGCUCUACAACAAGAAAAGAUUUGAAACAGAUCACCAAUAAUUAAAUAUAACUUCACAAUUCCAGACAUUGCAACCACUGAAUAAAAUAAAUUCAUCAUGCAUAAUGUUAAAAGUAAUAAAAAAUGUCACUCUUUAAUAAGAACCCCAUUUUACAGAGAUUCUUAAUUCCAUAUUAUAUUAAGUCUUGGAAAACUAACCAAAGUAUCUUAAGUUGAUCUUCAGUCUUUACUCUAUAGCAAUGUGUAGUAUGUAUUAGUAAAGUAAAUUAUAUAAUAUUUAUAUUCCACUUAUGUAACUGACCAGACAUUUCCCAGCUAAACAUUUCUCUCAUUCAGAUAUUUCAGGUUUGGAUGAUUGCAAUCUCAGCAGGUACCAGUACUUGCAAUGAAAGAAUUAAACUGAUCAGGUGACUCACCAAUCAUCACCUUAUUUAAAUGAUCAUUCAACUCUCAGUGUUCUCCAAUCUAGUCUGGCAUGGAUAAAAACUUAAACUAUAAAAUAUUUGACAUUAUGAUGGCAGACAGCAGGCACCUCAG